UGGCUCAGGAUGAACGCUAGCGGCAGGCUUAACACAUGCAAGUCGAGGGGUAUAGUAGCAAUACUAGAGACCGGCGCACGGGUGCGUAACGCGUAUGCAAUCUACCUUUUGCAGAGGGAUAGCCCAGAGAAAUUUGGAUUAAUACCUCAUAGUAUAAUUGAAUGGCAUCAUUUACUUAUUAAAGUCACAACGGCAAAAGAUGAGCAUGCGUCCCAUUAGCUAGAUGGUAAGGUAACGGCUUACCAUGGCAACGAUGGGUAGGGGUCCUGAGAGGGAGAUCCCCCACACUGGUACUGAGACACGGACCAGACUCCUACGGGAGGCAGCAGUGAGGAAUAUUGGACAAUGGGCGCAAGCCUGAUCCAGCCAUGCCGCGUGCAGGAUGACGGUCCUAUGGAUUGUAAACUGCUUUUAUACGAGAAGAAACACUACUUCGUGAAGUAGCUUGACGGUAUCGUAAGAAUAAGGAUCGGCUAACUCCGUGCCAGCAGCCGCGGUAAUACGGAGGAUCCAAGCGUUAUCCGGAAUCAUUGGGUUUAAAGGGUCCGUAGGCGGUUUAGUAAGUCAGUGGUGAAAGCCCAUCGCUCAACGGUGGAACGGCCAUUGAUACUGCUAGACUUGAAUUAUUAGGAAGUAACUAGAAUAUGUAGUGUAGCGGUGAAAUGCUUAGAGAUUACAUGGAAUACCAAUUGCGAAGGCAGGUUACUACUAAUGGAUUGACGCUGAUGGACGAAAGCGUGGGUAGCGAACAGGAUUAGAUACCCUGGUAGUCCACGCCCUAAACUAUGGAUACU
rnacentral:rRNA from 1 species